GAAAUGCGAUACUUGGUGUGAAUUGCAGAAUCCCGUGAACCAUCGAGUCUUUGAACGCAAGUUGCGCCUGAAGCCUUUUGGUUGAGGGCACGUCUGCCUGCGCGACUCGAUACAGCUAGGCUGAGCCUUAGGUUACAAAAUGCUGCGGCUACUGGUGGUACCACAAGGCUCAGCCUAGCUGUAUCGAGUCGCGCAGGACGUAGCCUUUACGGCCUUGUAGGACCCUGAGUGUCCCCUUUAGGAGACAAACCGUUGCGACCCCAGGUCAGGCGGGGCUACCCGCUGAGUUUAA
rnacentral:misc_RNA from 1 species